UACGUAGGGGCAAGCGUUGUCCGGAUUUAUUGGGCGUAAAGCGCGUGUAGGCGGCCAGGUAGGUCCGUUGUGAAAACUCGAGGCUCAACCUCGAGACGUCGACGGAAACCAUCUGGCUAGAGUCCGGAGGAGGAGAGUGGAAUCCUGGUGUAGCGGUGGAAUGCGCAGGAUAUCAGGAGGAACACCGGGUGGCGAAGGCG
rnacentral:rRNA from 1 species